UCGAGAAUCUUCGGCAAUGGGCGCAAGCCUGACCGAGCGACGCCGCGUGCGGGAUGAAGGCCUUCGGGUUGUAAACCGCUGUCGUAGGGGAGGAAGAUCCUGUGAAGAACAGGGUUUGACCGAUCCUAGGAGGAAGCGCCGGCUAAUCUCGUGCCAGCAGCCGCGGUAAUACGAGAGGCGCAAACGUUAUUCGGAUUUACUGGGCUUAAAGAGUUCGUAGGCGGCGCGGAAAGUGGGGUGUGAAAGCCCUCGGCUUAACCGAGGAAUUGCGCUCCAAACUACCGUGCUUGAGGAAGCUAGAGGUGAGCAGAACUGAUGGUGGAGCGGUGAAAUGCGUUGAUAUCAUCAGGAAUACCGGAGGCGAAGGCGGCUCACUGGGGCUUUUCUGACGCUGAGGAACGAAAGCCAGGGUAGCGAACGG
rnacentral:rRNA from 1 species